GUCCCUGUAACGCAAUGGAUAGCGUGUUGAACUUAUAAUCUCAAAGUCGUGGUUUCGAAUCCCACCUAGGAUG